rnacentral:rRNA from 1 species
GACGAACGCUGGCGGCGUGCUUAACACAUGCAAGUCGAACGGUAAGGCCCUUCGGGGUACACGAGUGGCGAACGGGUGAGUAACACGUGGGUGAUCUGCCCUGCGCUUCGGGAUAAGCCUGGGAAACUGGGUCUAAUACCGGAUAGGACCACUGCCUGCAUGGGUGGUGGUGGAAAGCUUUUGCGGUGUGGGAUGGGCCCGCGGCCUAUCAGCUUGUUGGUGGGGUGAUGGCCUACCAAGGCGACGAUGCGUAGCCGACCUGAGAGGGUGAUCGGCCACAUUGGGACUGAGACACGGCCCAGACUCCUACGGGAGGCAGCAGUGGGGAAUAUUGCACAAUGGGCGCAAGCCUGAUGCAGCGACGCCGCGUGAGGGAUGACGGCCUUCGGGUUGUAAACCUCUUUCAGCACCGACGAAGCGCAAGUGACGGUAGGUGCAGAAGAAGGACCGGCCAACUACGUGCCAGCAGCCGCAGUAA